GUCGCUGACCACAUCAAAAAUUGUCCCACGAUUUACAAGACCUGUCUCAAACAUGGUUGAUGGAUUAUGGAUGUCCAUCGACCGAGCCCUAAUGAGACAACCUGCUUUACGUCUUGGUGUAAUCCUCUAUUGGGCUAUAAUGCAUGCUAUGCUUGCAACUUUUGUAGUCUGAGAACUGAACAACUGGUCUCUGAUCAUUCUAGGUCAACAUCACAGCUUCAGUUGUGACUGAGAUAAGUUUAUUAGCUUUUAUACGUAUAAUCAUCUAGGUCGCUCAUUCUUUCGUCAUUCGUGGACCAGGGAACUGUGAUUUCCUCGCUUUUACAACACGAAUCACAGAUUGCUUGGUGUUUUUCCAAUAAGAAGGGAAGUUAUUAUAUGGGAUUACAAUACAGUAGAGAUGCAGGUGAUUGAUUGUAGUGAACAGAAGAUAUUCUUCUGUUUUGUCAUGGCGAGACCGGCAAUUCGCCUUUAGUUUGUUCAUUUUCUGUGGAAUUGUUUUUUUUUUAAUUUUAAAUAUUUGUACUGCAUCACCCAUAUAUUAUAGCUCUAGUGCCUGAUCAUCAAAAUGUUGUAUUUGACACUUUCUGGGAUUGGGAUUGGGAUUUUCCUCCCUGGUAAUGUGGUAUAUACAUAUAUCGUUUCAAAACGUUA